UGCGUAGGCGGUGCAGCAAGUCGGGUGUGAAAUCCCUCAGCUCAACUGAGGAACGGCGCCCGAAACUGCUGUGCUUGAGGAAGAUAGAGGUACGCGGAACUUAGGGUGGAGCGGUGAAAUGCGUUGAUAUCCUAAGGAACACCGGUGGCGAAAGCGGCGUACUGGGUCUUUCUGACGCUGAGGCACGAAAGCUAGGGUAGCGAACG
rnacentral:rRNA from 1 species